ACGUAGGGGACGAGCGUUGUCCGGAGUUACUGGGCGUAAAGCGCCCGCAGGCGGUCCGCUCAGUUUGCGCCGACAGCUCCUGGCUUAACUGGGAGAGCGGGGCGAAGACGGGCGGACUGAGAGGACCAGAGAGGGACAUGGAACUCCGGGUGUAGUGGUGAAAUGCGUAGAUAUCCGGAAGAACACCAAAGGCGAAGGCAGUGUCCUGGCUGGUACCUGACGCUGAGGGGCGAAAGCUAGGGGAGCGAACGGGA
rnacentral:rRNA from 1 species